CCCCUGACCUCUGACCCCCAGGCCCGGGCUCUUGCCACUGAGCCACGCUGCUUCCCUAAUGGGGUGAACGAAUGACCUCGUCCAAGGCCGCCGAGCAGACAGGUGGUGGAUCAGAACCCAUGACCUUCCGAUGCCCAGGCCGGCGCCCCAUCCACCACGCCGUGUUGCUUGAAGAAUUGCGGUCUUAGGAAGCCCUUACCACGUGCCGAGCCCUUUGCCCGGACUGCCUGAGAACGGUGAGGUCACUGAGGCACAGAGACGUGAAGCGACCUGCCCAAGACCGCCCAGCAGGCAACACCGACGUUGUUGGCAGUAACGACGUGAGCCGCCUUCUUCCCGGGUCCUAAGAAAAGCUGCCAACGCAGGGAGCCCCGGCUCCCAUCCCCGCAAUCGUCCCGUAGAUCCGCGGAAAUAGAGCGUGAGGAUUUACAAGGGGAGCUCUUCGAACUGGAACCGCCAACGUUUGGAAGCUGAGUUGGCCGGACAAAGGCGGUAUUCUGAAACGACGCUAUGUCAAGUGUUCUGAGACGGAAAAUGCCCGCUGCUUCCUUAUUGCCCCAGACAGAUGCACAUUGUACGUUUAUCGAAUUGGGCGAGCAGGGACUGAGCUAGCGCUCAGGGUCAGGACGCUGAAAAAGGAAUAAUAACUGUGAUAUCUGUUAAACGCUUACUGUGUGCCAGGCAUUGGACUAGGC